GAUUUCAUCUGAAAAAGUCAUCAAUAACAAAGUUGUAUAACUCAUCAAGAUCUAUAACUUAUAUUUUGGUCAUUUCUUCAUCCGACAAAGUGAUUUGUAAGAUUGUUCACAAAAUGUACAUAUCUUAUAUAGUUUUUAUAAAACUAUAUAAGAUAUGUACAUUUUGUGAACAAUCUUACAAAUCACUUUGUCAGAUGAAGAAAUGACCAAAAUAUAAGUUAUAGAUCUUGAUGAGUUAUACAACUUUGUUUUUGAUGACUUUUUCAGUUGAAAUC
rnacentral:pre_miRNA from 1 species